rnacentral:lncRNA from 1 species
CCAAACAAUGUCCUAGAGGGUAUCCAUGUAGUUUAUAACACUCAUUUUUCUUAUGGCCAGUGAUGCCACAGUAACUACAAAUAGGUCUAUCCUUCCUUUGUCCCUGGUUGUUACUGUUUGUAUGCUUGACAAACUGUUGUUGAUUGAGAGCACCAUGAUUGGCAAAAGCAGUAGCCUCUACAUUUUGAUGUAAAGAUGUAACCUGUCUUUGCUUUUCUUCUUGAGAAACCAUGGCAAAAACACGAUUCAGUGGAGGAAUUGGAUCCAUAAGAAGGAUCUGGCUUCUAACAGCAUUAUAGGAAUCGUC